rnacentral:rRNA from 1 species
CUACGUGCCAGCAGCCGCGGGUAAUACGGAAGGUCCAGGCGUUAUCCGGAUUUAUUGGGUUUAAAGGGAGCGUAGGCUGGAGAUUAAGUGUGUUGUGAAAUGUAGACGCUCAACGUCUGAAUUGCAGCGCAUACUGGUUUCCUUGAGUACGCACAACGUUGGCGGAAUUCGUCGUGUAGCGGUGAAAUGCUUAGAUAUGACGAAGAACUCCGAUUGCGAAGGCAGCUGACGGGAGCGCAACUGACGCUUAAGCUCGAAGGUGCGGGUAUCAAACAGGAUUAGAUACCCUGGUAGUCCGCACAGUAAACGAUGGAUGCCCGCUGUUGGUACCUGGUAUCAGCGGCUAAGCGAAAGCAUUAAGCAUCCCACCUGGGGAGUACGCCGGCAACGGUGAAACUCAAAGGAAUUGACGGGGGCCCGCACAAGCGGAGGAACAUGUGGUUUAAUUCGAUGAUACGCGAGGAACCUUACCCGGGCUUGAA